rnacentral:lncRNA from 1 species
UAGGACCUAAUUCAUAAUUCAAGUAAUUAAAUCAGGCUAAGAGAUUGUUUAAUUACAAAAAAUAACCUUUUUUUUUUCUUAAAAAACAUUAUUGACCCUUUUUAAAAUAUAAAAAUAGUAUAGCCGCACGGCUAUACUCGCUUUAAACCCUUUUUUUUCCAGAUUUUAAAAACAGUACAGCCGCAUGGUUUGACACGUGGCGCCUAGGUGCUGGCUAGAUUUUUUUAAUUUUUUUAAAAAUAGUAUAGCCGAGCGGCUAUACUCGCUUCAAAAAAAAAAUGUUCAGAACUGUACAGCCGCAAGGUUUGACACGUGGCGCCUGGGUGCUGGCUGGAUCCCUAUUAUGUAUAUAAAUAGUACAGCCGCCCGGCUAUAAUAGAUUUUUAAAUUUUUUUUAAAAAUAGUAUAGCCGCGCGGCUAUACUCGCUUUUAAACCCUUUUUUUUUUUUUUUUUUUAAAUGUUCAGAACAGUAAGGCCGCAUGGUUUGACACGUGGCGCCUAGGUGCUGGCUGGAUCCCUAUUAUGUAUAUAAAUAGUACAGCCGCCCGGCUAUAAUAGAUUUUUAAAAUUUUUUUUUUGAAAUAGUAUAGCCGCGCGGCUAUACUCGGUUUUAACCCCUUUUUGUUUUUUAAAAAAUGUUCAGAACAGUACGGCCGCAUGGUUUGACACGUGGCGCCUAGGUGCUGGCUGGAUCCCUAUUAUGUAUAUAAAUAGUAUAGCCGCCCGGCUAUACUAGAUUUUCUUAAUUUUUUUUAAAUAGUAUAGCCGCGCGGCUGUACCCUGCUAACCUAGCGAAUUUUGAAAAUAUAAAAUCAGUUUCUUUACUUUUGAUUUUUGUUGCCAACUUCUUUAAUUUCAUAUAUGUAAUUAAUUUAUAUCUUAGCCUUUUUGAAUUACUUGAAUUAGUAAGUACUUGAAGUUCAAUUUUUUUAAAUAUAUUUGAAGCCCUUGAAUUACUUUAAUUAAGGUCUUGAAGGGCUUAAUGAAUACAUUUAGAGACCUCGAAGGUUACGUAUUAUACAUGUACGUACGUGUUUUUCAUGUUUAACACACGUAUACACGCACAUAUUAUGGAAUAAAAAUAAUAUAUAUUUAAAAAAUACAGUAUAGUGACCGAAUUUUUGGGUUGUAAUGUGCCAAGAUAUUGCCGAAUCAAACACAUACGUAUUUAAUUCGCAUUUUUUUCCCUUCCGUAUUUUACUAACUAUGAAUGAAUGUGAGAGCUCACUUGUUCUAACAAAAAUGCAAGAUAUAUAUUAAGUAAUAUCAUUUAUGAAGUUAAUUAAAAUAUUUAAUAUCAAUUAUUCACUAGAUAAAUAAUAGGUAGGACCUAAUUCAUAAUUCAAGUAAUUAAAUCAGGCUAAGAGAUUGUUUAAUUACUAAAAAUAACCUUUUUUUUUUCUUAAAAAACAUUAUUGACCCUUUUUAAAAUAUAAAAAUAGUAUAGCCGCACGGCUAUACGCGCUUUAAACCCUUUUUUUUCCAGAUUUUAAAAACAGUACAGCCGCAUGGUUUGACACGUGGCGCCUAGGUGCUGGCUAGAUUUUUUAAAUUUUUUUUAAAAUAGUAUAGCCGAGCGGCUAUACUCGCUUUUAACCCCUUUUUUUUUUUGAAAAAAAAAAAUGUUCAGAACUGUACAGCCGCAAGGUUUGACACGUGGCGCCUAGGUGCUGGCUGGAUCCCUAUUAUGUAUAUAAAUAGUACAGCCGCCCGGCUAUAAUAGAUUUUAAAAUUUUUUUUUUUGAAAUAGUAUAGCCGCGCGGCUAUACUCGGUUUUAACCCCUUUUUUUGUUUUUUUAAAAAUGUUCAGAACAGUACGGCCGCAUGGUUUGACACGUGGCGCCUAGGUGCUGGCUGGAUCCCUAUUAUGUAUAUAAAUAGUAUAGCCGCCCGGCUAUACUAGAUUUUCUUAAUUUUUUUUUAAAUAGUAUAGCCGCGCGGCUGUACCCUGCUAACCUAGCGAAUUUUGAAAAUAUAAAAUCAGUUUCUUUACUUUUGAUUUUUGUUGCCAACUUCUUUAAUUUCAUAUAUGUAAUUAAUUUAUAUCUUAGCCUUUUUGAAUUACUUGAAUUAGUAAGUACUUGAAGUUCAAUUUUUUAAAAUAUAUUUGAAGCCCUUGAAUUACUUUAAUUAAGGUCUUGAAGGGCUUAAUGAAUACAUUUAGAGACCUCGAAGGUUACGUAUUAUACAUGUACGUACGUGUUUUUCAUGUUUAACACACGUAUACACGCACAUAUUAUGGAAUAAAAAUAAUAUAUAUUUAAAAAAUACAGUAUAGUGACCGAAUUUUUGGGUUGUAAUGUGCCAAGAUAUUGCCGAAUCAAACACAUACGUAUUUAAUUCGCAUUUUUUUCCCUUCCGUAUUUUACUAACUAUGAAUGAAUGUGAGAGCUCACUUGUUCUAACAAAAAUGCAAGAUAUAUAUUAAGUAAUAUCAUUUAUGAAGUUAAUUAAAAUAUUUAAUAUCAAUUAUUCACUAGAUAAAUAAUAGGUAGGACCUAAUUCAUAAUUCAAGUAAUUAAAUCAGGCUAAGAGAUUGUUUAAUUACUAAAAAUAACCUUUUUUUUUUCUUAAAAAACAUUAUUGACCCUUUUUAAAAUAUAAAAAUAGUAUAGCCGCACGGCUAUACGCGCUUUAAACCCUUUUUUUUCCAGAUUUUAAAAACAGUACAGCCGCAUGGUUUGACACGUGGCGCCUAGGUGCUGGCUAGAUUUUUUAAAUUUUUUUUAAAAUAGUAUAGCCGAGCGGCUAUACUCGCUUUUAACCCCUUUUUUUUUUUGAAAAAAAAAAUGUUCAGAACUGUACAGCCGCAAGGUUUGACACGUGGCGCCUAGGUGCUGGCUGGAUCCCUAUUAUGUAUAUAAAUAGUACAGCCGCCCGGCUAUAAUAGAUUUUAAAAUUUUUUUUUUUGAAAUAGUAUAGCCGCGCGGCUAUACUCGGUUUUAACCCCUUUUUUUGUUUUUUUUAAAAUGUUCAGAACAGUACGGCCGCAUGGUUUGACACGUGGCGCCUAGGUGCUGGCUGGAUCCCUAUUAUGUAUAUAAAUAGUAUAGCCGCCCGGCUAUACUAGAUUUUCUUAAUUUUUUUUUAAAUAGUAUAGCCGCGCGGCUGUACCCUGCUAACCUAGCGAAUUUUGAAAAUAUAAAAUCAGUUUCUUUACUUUUGAUUUUUGUUGCCAACUUCUUUAAUUUCAUAUAUGUAAUUAAUUUAUAUCUUAGCCUUUUUGAAUUACUUGAAUUAGUAAGUACUUGAAGUUCAAUUUUUUUAAAUAUAUUUGAAGCCCUUGAAUUACUUUAAUUAAGGUCUUGAAGGGCUUAAUGAAUACAUUUAGAGACCUCGAAGGUUACGUAUUAUACAUGUACGUACGUGUUUUUCAUGUUUAACACACGUAUACACGCACAUAUUAUGGAAUAAAAAUAAUAUAUAUUUAAAAAAUACAGUAUAGUGACCGAAUUUUUGGGUUGUAAUGUGCCAAGAUAUUGCCGAAUCAAACACAUACGUAUUUAAUUCGCAUUUUUUUCCCUUCCGUAUUUUACUAACUAUGAAUGAAUGUGAGAGCUCACUUGUUCUAACAAAAAUGCAAGAUAUAUAUUAAGUAAUAUCAUUUAUGAAGUUAAUUAAAAUAUUUAAUAUCAAUUAUUCACUAGAUAAAUAAUAGGUAGGACCUAAUUCAUAAUUCAAGUAAUUAAAUCAGGCUAAGAGAUUGUUUAAUUACUAAAAAUAACCUUUUUUUUUUCUUAAAAAACAUUAUUGACCCUUUUUAAAAUAUAAAAAUAGUAUAGCCGCACGGCUAUACGCGCUUUAAACCCUUUUUUUUCCAGAUUUUAAAAACAGUACAGCCGCAUGGUUUGACACGUGGCGCCUAGGUGCUGGCUAGAUUUUUUAAAUUUUUUUUAAAAUAGUAUAGCCGAGCGGCUAUACUCGCUUUUAACCCCUUUUUUUUUUUGAAAAAAAAAAUGUUCAGAACUGUACAGCCGCAAGGUUUGACACGUGGCGCCUAGGUGCUGGCUGGAUCCCUAUUAUGUACAUAAAUAGUACAGCCGCCCGGCUAUAAUAGAUUUUUAAAUUUUUUUUAAAAAUAGUAUAGCCGCGCGGCUAUACUCGCUUUUAAACCCUUUUUUUUUUUUUUUUUUUUUUAUAAAUGUUCAGAACAGUACGGCCGCAUGGUUUGACACGUGGCGCCUAGGUGCUGGCUGGAUCCCUAUUAUGUAUAUAAAUAGUACAGCCGCCCGGCUAUAAUAGAUUUUUAAAUUUUUUUUUUUGAAAUAGUAUAGCCGCGCGGCUAUACUCGGUUUUAACCCCUUUUUUUUGUUUUUUUUAAAAUGUUCAGAACAGUACGGCCGCAUGGUUUGACACGUGGCGCCUAGGUGCUGGCUGGAUCCCUAUUGUGUAUAUAAAUAGUAUAGCCGCCCGGCUAUACUAGAUUUUCUUAAUUUUUUUUUAAAUAGUAUAGCCGCGCGGCUGUACCCUGCUAACCUAGCGAAUUUUGAAAAUAUAAAAUCAGUUUCUUUACUUUUGAUUUUUGUUGCCAACUUCUUUAAUUUCAUAUAUGUAAUUAAUUUAUAUCUUAGCCUUUUUGAAUUACUUGAAUUAGUAAGUACUUGAAGUUCAAUUUUUUUAAAUAUAUUUGAAGCCCUUGAAUUACUUUAAUUAAGGUCUUGAAGGGCUUAAUGAAUACAUUUAGAGACCUCGAAGGUUACGUAUUAUACAUGUACGUACGUGUUUUUCAUGUUUAACACACGUAUACACGCACAUAUUAUGGAAUAAAAAUAAUAUAUAUUUAAAAAAUACAGUAUAGUGACCGAAUUUUUGGGUUGUAAUGUGCCAAGAUAUUGCCGAAUCAAACACAUACGUAUUUAAUUCGCAUUUUUUUCCCUUCCGUAUUUUACUAACUAUGAAUGAAUGUGAGAGCUCACUUGUUCUAACAAAAAUGCAAGAUAUAUAUUAAGUAAUAUCAUUUAUGAAGUUAAUUAAAAUAUUUAAUAUCAAUUAUUCACUAGAUAAAUAAUAGGUAGGACCUAAUUCAUAAUUCAAGUAAUUAAAUCAGGCUAAGAGAUUGUUUAAUUACUAAAAAUAACCUUUUUUUUUUCUUAAAAAACAUUAUUGACCCUUUUUAAAAUAUAAAAAUAGUAUAGCCGCACGGCUAUACGCGCUUUAAACCCUUUUUUUUCCAGAUUUUAAAAACAGUACAGCCGCAUGGUUUGACACGUGGCGCCUAGGUGCUGGCUAGAUUUUUUAAAUUUUUUUUAAAAUAGUAUAGCCGAGCGGCUAUACUCGCUUUUAACCCCUUUUUUUUUUUGAAAAAAAAAAUGUUCAGAACUGUACAGCCGCAAGGUUUGACACGUGGCGCCUAGGUGCUGGCUGGAUCCCUAUUAUGUACAUAAAUAGUACAGCCGCCCGGCUAUAAUAGAUUUUUAAAUUUUUUUUAAAAAUAGUAUAGCCGCGCGGCUAUACUCGCUUUUAAACCCUUUUUUUUUUUUUUUUUUUUUUAUAAAUGUUCAGAACAGUACGGCCGCAUGGUUUGACACGUGGCGCCUAGGUGCUGGCUGGAUCCCUAUUAUGUAUAUAAAUAGUACAGCCGCCCGGCUAUAAUAGAUUUUUAAAUUUUUUUUUUUGAAAUAGUAUAGCCGCGCGGCUAUACUCGGUUUUAACCCCUUUUUUUUGUUUUUUUUAAAAUGUUCAGAACAGUACGGCCGCAUGGUUUGACACGUGGCGCCUAGGUGCUGGCUGGAUCCCUAUUGUGUAUAUAAAUAGUAUAGCCGCCCGGCUAUACUAGAUUUUCUUAAUUUUUUUUUAAAUAGUAUAGCCGCGCGGCUGUACCCUGCUAACCUAGCGAAUUUUGAAAAUAUAAAAUCAGUUUCUUUACUUUUGAUUUUUGUUGCCAACUUCUUUAAUUUCAUAUAUGUAAUUAAUUUAUAUCUUAGCCUUUUUGAAUUACUUGAAUUAGUAAGUACUUGAAGUUCAAUUUUUUUAAAUAUAUUUGAAGCCCUUGAAUUACUUUAAUUAAGGUCUUGAAGGGCUUAAUGAAUACAUUUAGAGACCUCGAAGGUUACGUAUUAUACAUGUACGUACGUGUUUUUCAUGUUUAACACACGUAUACACGCACAUAUUAUGGAAUAAAAAUAAUAUAUAUUUAAAAAAUACAGUAUAGUGACCGAAUUUUUGGGUUGUAAUGUGCCAAGAUAUUGCCGAAUCAAACACAUACGUAUUUAAUUCGCAUUUUUUUCCCUUCCGUAUUUUACUAACUAUGAAUGAAUGUGAGAGCUCACUUGUUCUAACAAAAAUGCAAGAUAUAUAUUAAGUAAUAUCAUUUAUGAAGUUAAUUAAAAUAUUUAAUAUCAAUUAUUCACUAGAUAAAUAAUAGGUAGGACCUAAUUCAUAAUUCAAGUAAUUAAAUCAGGCUAAGAGAUUGUUUAAUUACUAAAAAUAACCUUUUUUUUUUUCUUAAAAAACAUUAUUGACCCUUUUUAAAAUAUAAAAAUAGUAUAGCCGCACGGCUAUACUCGCUUUAAACCCUUUUUUUUCCAGAUUUUAAAAACAGUACAGCCGCAUGGUUUGACACGUGGCGCCUAGGUGCUGGCUAGAUUUUUUUAAUUUUUUUAAAAAUAGUAUAGCCGAGCGGCUAUACUCGCUUCAAAAAAAAAAUGUUCAGAACUGUACAGCCGCAAGGUUUGACACGUGGCGCCUGGGUGCUGGCUGGAUCCCUAUUAUGUAUAUAAAUAGUACAGCCGCCCGGCUAUAAUAGAUUUUUAAAUUUUUUUUAAAAAUAGUAUAGCCGCGCGGCUAUACUCGCUUUUAAACCCUUUUUUUUUUUUUUUUUUUUUUUU